rnacentral:rRNA from 1 species
UCCGACCUCAGAUCGGACGAG